rnacentral:rRNA from 1 species
UCGGCGCAGCAAUAAAAACUAACCAGGAUUCCCUUAGUAACGGCGAGUGAAGUGGGAAAUAUACUAGUUCAUCCCAACGAUAGAAUCCAUUCUUAGCUGGCUAAGCUUCUGUUUUCCAGCUGGAAGGAAUUGUAGCAUCGUAAUAACACACAUUCUUCAAAAUUAAAUUUGUGUUGUAUCUACUCAACGUAAAAAAUUAUUAUUUUUAUCGCGGCAACGUAAUAAAAACUACAUACUUUACCCAAACACACAGCGUUUAGCGCUGGAAAGCAAGUCUAUAUCAUGCCAUAGAGUGUGACAGCCACGUUUGCCAUUGGUAAACUCACGUAGCACGCAUAUAAUUUUUUUUACAAGAUACGUAAUUCAUAAAUUAUGAGACACUCAUAAACCCUGAGUCGAGUUAUUUGGGACUACAGCUCAAAUUGUUUGGUGGUGGUAAUGACACAUCAAAGGCUAAAUAUUGGUGUUUUAUACGAUUGCAACGAGACCGAUAGCAAACAAGUACCGUAAGGGAACGAUGAAAAGCACCCUUUUUAGCACGUGCAUCAC